rnacentral:rRNA from 1 species
UACGGGGGGGGCAAGCGUUGUUCGGAAUUACUGGGCGUAAAGGGCUCGUAGGCGGCCAACUAAGUCAGACGUGAAAUCCCUCGGCUUAACCGGGGAACUGCGUCUGAUACUGGAUGGCUUGAGGUUGGGAGAGGGAUGCGGAAUUCCAGGUGUAGCGGUGAAAUGUGUAGAUAUCUGGAGGAACACCGGUGGCGAAGGCGGCAUCCUGGACCAAUUCUGACGCUGAGUGAGCGAAAGCCAGGGGAGCAAACGGG